GUGAACCUGCGGAAGGAUCAUUGCCGGU
rnacentral:rRNA from 1 species